rnacentral:rRNA from 1 species
GACGAACGCUGGCGGCGUGCUUAACACAUGCAAGUCGAACGAAGAGCGAUGGAAGCUUGCUUCUAUCAAUCUUAGUGGCGAACGGGUGAGUAACGCGUAAUCAACCUGCCCUUCAGAGGGGGACAACAGUUGGAAACGACUGCUAAUACCGCAUACGAUCUAAUCUCGGCAUCGAGGAUGGAUGAAAGGUGGCCUCUAUGUAUAAGCUAUCACUGAAGGAGGGGAUUGCGUCUGAUUAGCUAGUUGGAGGGGUAACGGCCCACCAAGGCGAUGAUCAGUAGCCGGUCUGAGAGGAUGAACGGCCACAUUGGGACUGAGACACGGCCCAGACUCCUACGGGAGGCAGCAGUGGGGAAUCUUCCGCAAUGGACGAAAGUCUGACGGAGCAACGCCGCGUGAGUGAUGACGGCCUUCGGGUUGUAAAGCUCUGUUAAUCGGGACGAAAGGCCUUCUUGCGAACAGUUAGAAGGAUU